AGAGUUUGAUCCUGGCUCAGAAUGAACGUUGGCGGCGUGGAUUAGGCAUGCAAGUCGCACGAGAAACCAAUUAGCUUGCUAUGAGGUGGACAGUGGCGAAAGGGAGAGUAACGCGUGGUUACGUGCCCUCGAGACCGGGAUAGUGUCGGGAAACUGGCAGUAAUACCGGAUAACAUCUUUGGAUCAAAUGGUGUGAUUCCGCUCGAGGAUCGGACCGCGUACUAUUAGCUUGUUGGCGGGGUAACGGCCCACCAAGGCUGCGAUGGUUACCGGGUGUGAGAGCAUGGCCCGGCUCACUGGGACUGAGACACUGCCCAGACAUCUACGGAUGGCUGCAGUCGAGAAUCUUCGGCAAUGGACGAAAGUCUGACCGAGCGACGCCGCGUGCGGGAUGAAGGCCCUCGGGUUGUAAACCGCUGUCAGUUAGGAGGAAAUCUAUGAGGGUUCUCUCUCAUGGUUGACCGAUUUUCAGAGGAAGGACGGGCUAAGUUCGUGCCAGCAGCCGCGGUAACACGAACCGUCCUAACGUUAUUCGGUAUCACUGGGCUUAAA
rnacentral:rRNA from 1 species